rnacentral:rRNA from 1 species
UGGCUCAGAACGAACGCUGGCGGCGUGCUUAACACAUGCAAGUGGAGCGACGAACCAGGGCUUGCCCUGGAGCAAAGCCGCGAACGGGUGAGUAACACGUGGGUUACCUGCCCCGAUGACCGGGACAACUCGAGGAAACUCGGGCUAAUACCGGAUGUGCCCGCAAGGGGAAAGGAAGCUUCGGCCUCCGCAUCGGGAUGGGCCCGCGGCCCAUUAGCUUGUUGGUGGGGUAAUGGCUUACCAAGGCAACGGUGAGUAGCUGGUCUGAGAGGACGAUCAGCCACACUGGGACUGUUUCUCGGUCCAGACGACUACGGGAGGCAG